AAACAAAAAAAACACUGUUUGCAGGGCUAUUAGGUGCUGAAUGAGUACUCCACUGGAUUAGAAAGAUCAGAAGCCCUGGAUUUCACAACAGGUCCAGUCCCAAGUAGUCGUGACUUUCGGACUGGUGAUGACUCAGCUCAGCUGGAGGACCCUUGAAAGUCGCGCUGAGCUUCGUGGUCAGCCCACAAUAAAACUGAGACUAAGGAAAAGGGAGAGCUUGCUUUUGGUGGUGAGCCUAAGGCACCUGCUCUAGCACGGACUGCAAAAAGAGGCUUGUCUGGCGCUGCCAAGCACUCACCCGGCUAAUUAAAAAGUAGUAUUUUA